UACGUAGGUGGCAAGCGUUGUCCGGAUUUACUGGGCGUAAAGAGCGCGCAGGCGGUCGUUCAAGUCGCGUGUGAAAGCCCCCGGCUCAACUGGGGAGGGUCACGCGAUACUGAUCGACUCGAAGGCAGGAGAGGGUAGUGGAAUUCCCGGUGUAGUGGUGAAAUGCGUAGAUAUCUGGAGGAACACCGGUGGCGAAGGCGGCAUCCUGGACCGGUAUUGACGCUGAGGAGCGAAAGCCAGGGGAGCAAACGGG
rnacentral:rRNA from 1 species